rfam:Nicotiana attenuata strain TT chromosome 1, whole genome shotgun sequence.
GUUGGGAAAUGAUGAUAAUAUAUCGAUAUAUCAGAGGUUCAGUAAUCUGUGCUCUGCUGAAUAAAAUAUUUUGCACGUCAGUCUGAUCCCUCU